GAUGGAGCUGGGGGGAGGGGAACAAAAUAAGGCUCAAGUCUUCUUUGUCCUCUUCUGGGCAAACGUGAGCCUUAGGGCUGUCCCCAGGGAGAGGUGUUGGACACCUGCUUCAUGGCAUUACGGUGUGUGGGCAACAAAAGCCAGGGUCCUCAAAGCCCCUGACUACAGCCUUCUAGGCACUGCUAACUCACAAGCUGAGCUGCGGAAGCAUGAACAGCUCCUCUCCUGGCAACGGCAGCCACGUGACGCUGCUGCGGGCAGAGGCCAGGUAGACACGCACGGACCCAACAAGACCCUCAACGCUGUCCUGUCCGGUGCUGGAUCCUCUAUACAGGACAGUCUCCUGGGGGGUCACAUGGCUGACUGAGGCUGGCAAGGAAAAGUGGGAGACGUCGGCCUGAGAAUUUCCUAACGGCUCUCCGCCCCACCGGCUCCUGGCCUGGUAAUAAAAGUGAGAUGAAGAAACAGCA